rnacentral:rRNA from 1 species
AUUGAACGCUGGCGGCAGGCCUAACACAUGCAAGUCGAACGAGUGGCGGACGGGUGAGUAAUGUCUGGGAAACUGCCCGAUGGAGGGGGGUAACGACUGGCAACGGUAGCUAAUACCGCAUACCAUCGGAUGUGCCCAGAUGGGAUUAGCUAGUAGGUGGGGUAACGGCUCACAUAGGCGACGAUCCCUCGCUGGUCUGAGAGGAUGACCUGCCAAACUGGAACUUAGACACGGUCCAUACUCCUACGGGAGGCAGCAGUGUGGAAUAUUGCCCAAUGGGCGCAAGCCUGAUGCAGCCAUGCCGCGUGUAUGAAGAAGUCCUUCGGGUUGUAAAGUACUUUCAGCGAGGAGGCGUUACUCGCAGAAGAAGCACCGGCUAACUCCGUGCCAGCAGCCGCGGUAAUAC